rnacentral:rRNA from 1 species
UACGGGGGGGGCAAGCGUUGUUCGGAAUUACUGGGCGUAAAGGGUUCGUAGGUGGCCAACUAAGCCAGACGUGAAAUCCCUCAGCUUAACUGGGGAACUGCGUCUGGGACUGGAUGGCUUGAGUGCAGGAGAGGAACGCGGAAUUCCAGGUGUAGCGGUGAAAUGCGUAGAUAUCUGGAGGAACACCGGUGGCGAAGGCGGCGUUCUGGACUGCAACUGACACUGAUGAACGAAAGCCAGGGGAGCAAACGGG